CAAAAAUACACAGAUUUAUUCAGAAUGUUAUACCGAUGAAGAUCACAUAAAAAUAUUUGGAAAAAUCAGAAGUAUGGAUUUCAAUAUGGGACAAGAUCCCUAAUGCGCCUUGAAAUGAGGAACUCAAAAGUCACGUGUAAACAAAAAUUCUCUGUGUAGUGAUAUUUGACACUUUUCUAUGAUAAACAAGUGACUGAGCUUAACCAUUUGAGUUAAUUUAGAAAGUAGGGGAACACAGAAUAAAUGUGUAAAAUCUAUGGAGCUAUUAAAUGUGUUCAAAGUAUUAAAUUUUCAAAGAACUUUUUGUGUUAAAAAUGGGAUUAUUUACCAUGAGGAGCCGCAUCACAAAAGGAUACUCGGGGUUUGCUAAUUUACGGAAAAAGUAAUCUCACUUCGUACCCCGAAAAUUUAACCACAUAUGUCAAAAUGUCUCAGCUUCGAAACGAGCCAUCACACAUAUCCAAGUUAACGAUAUGGACUGAGCAACA
rnacentral:lncRNA from 1 species